rnacentral:rRNA from 1 species
UGAACGCUGGCGGCAUGCUUUACACAUGCAAGUCGGACGGCAGCACAGAGAAGCUUGCUUCUCGGGUGGCGAGUGGCGAACGGGUGAGUAACAUAUCGGAACGUACCGAGUAGUGGGGGAUAACUGAUCGAAAGAUCAGCUAAUACCGCAUACGUCUUGAGAGAGAAAGCAGGGGACCUUUGGGCCUUGCGCUAUUCGAGCGGCCGAUAUCUGAUUAGCUAGUUGGUGGGGUAAAGGCCUACCAAGGCGACGAUCAGUAGCGGGUCUGAGAGGAUGAUCCGCCACACUGGGACUGAGACACGGCCCAGACUCCUACGGGAGGCAGCAGUGGGGAAUUUUGGACAAUGGGCGCAAGCCUGAUCCAGCCAUGCCGCGUGUCUGAAGAAGGCCUUCGGGUUGUAAAGGACUUUUGUCAGGGAAGAAAAGGCUGUUGCUAAUAUCAGCGGCUGAUGACGGUACCUGAAGAAUAAGCACCGGCUAACUACGUGCCAGCAGCCGCGGUAAUACGUAGGGUGCGAGCGUUAAUCGGAAUUACUGGGCGUAAAGCGGGCGCAGACGGUUACUUAAGCAGGAUGUGAAAUCCCCGGGCUCAACCCGGGAACUGCGUUCUGAACUGGGUGACUCGAGUGUGUCAGAGGGAGGUAGAAUUCCACGUGUAGCAGUGAAAUGCGUAGAGAUGUGGAGGAAUACCGAUGGCGAAGGCAGCCUCCUGGGACAACACUGACGUUCAUGCCCGAAAGCGUGGGUAGCAAACAGGAUUAGAUACCCUGGUAGUCCACGCCCUAAACGAUGUCAAUUAGCUGUUGGGCAACUUGAUUGCUUAGUAGCGUAGCUAACGCGUGAAAUUGACCGCCUGGGGAGUACGGUCGCAAGAUUAAAACUCAAAGGAAUUGACGGGGACCCGCACAAGCGGUGGAUGAUGUGGAUUAAUUCGAUGCAACGCGAAGAACCUUACCUGGUCUUGACAUGUACGGAAUCCUCCAGAGACGGAGGAGUGCCUUCGGGAGCCGUAACACAGGUGCUGCAUGGCUGUCGUCAGCUCGUGUCGUGAGAUGUUGGGUUAAGUCCCGCAACGAGCGCAACCCUUGUCAUUAGUUGCCAUCAUUCAGUUGGGCACUCUAAUGAGACUGCCGGUGACAAGCCGGAGGAAGGUGGGGAUGACGUCAAGUCCUCAUGGCCCUUAUGACCAGGGCUUCACACGUCAUACAAUGGUCGGUACAGAGGGUAGCCAAGCCGCGAGGCGGAGCCAAUCUCACAAAACCGAUCGUAGUCCGGAUUGCACUCUGCAACUCGAGUGCAUGAAGUCGGAAUCGCUAGUAAUCGCAGGUCAGCAUACUGCGGUGAAUACGUUCCCGGGUCUUGUACACACCGCCCGUCACACCAUGGGAGUGGGGGAUACCAGAAGUAGGUAGGGUAACCGCAAGGAGCCCGCUUACCACGGUAUGCUUCAUGACUGGGGUGAAGUCGUAA